UAUAUGUAGCUAAAACUCUCAUACACAUAU
rnacentral:piRNA from 1 species